rnacentral:rRNA from 1 species
CCUACGGGUGGCAGCAGUGAGGAAUAUUGGUCAAUGGACGGAAGUCUGAACCAGCCAUGCCGCGUGCGGGAAGACGGCUCUGUGAAUUGUAAACUGCUUUUGUCCGAGGGUAAACCUUAAUACGUGUAUUCGGCUGAACGUACUGUACGAAUAAGGAUCGGCUAACUCCGUGCCAUCAGCCGCGGUAAUACGGAGGAUCCAAGCGUUAGUCGGAAUAACUGGGCGUAAAGGGUGCGUAGGCGGUUAAAAAAGUUAUCUGGUAAAUAUACAGGCUUAAACUGUAGCAAGCAUGUAAAACUGUUGAACUAGAGUGCAGGAGAGGUAAGUGGAAUGCCUGGUGUAGCGGUGAAAUGCGUAGAGAUUAGGAAGAACACCAGUGGCGAAGGCGACUUACCGGACUGUAACUGACGCUGAGGCAUGAGAGCAUGGGGAGCAAACAGGAUUAGAUACCCGAGUAGUC